rnacentral:misc_RNA from 1 species
GAUUUUUCCGGUUUUCCAUCCACUCCGGCAGACUGAACUCCAUUAGCCUGAUUAUACUGCUCGAAAAUGGAUAAUUCUGCAGUGUUCCGCACAGAUCCAUUUCCAUUCAUAGUUGAAGAAUUUCCAUUUUGCACAGAAUCACCAUUGUCAGUUGCAUCUCGUGCAGGAACCUUCCUCCUCCCAAACGGAAAGGUCCAUCGAGUCAACGCAGGUUCGUCGGCCAUUUGUCUGAUUUUCCGAUUUGAA